rnacentral:lncRNA from 1 species
UCUGACCCUGAAGCAGUGAAGGUGACAAAUGAAGGAACCAAAGUGUGGGCAAAUUUGUUCCAGAAAAACAGAUUUGCCUCAAAUGGGAUGUCUCUGGAGUAUAUACCACCUACUAUCCUUGAUGGCAAACCUGUAGGUCAAUUACUGAAAGAGGAAGUAGAGGAGGAAGAGCAGAAAUGGAAGUGUUCUCUGGUGAUUUUUGUUUUGGGGACUGGGCCAGGUUAAAACCUGUAGGUCAAUUACUGAAAGAGGAAGUAGAGGAGGAAGAGCAGAAAUGGAAGUGUUCUCUGGUGAUUUUUGUUUUGG